rnacentral:rRNA from 1 species
GAACGCUGGCGGCGCGCCUAACACAUGCAAGUCGAACGAGCGAGAGAGAGCUUGCUUUCUUGAGCGAGUGGCGAACGGGUGAGUAACGCGUGAGGAACCUGCCUCAAAGAGGGGGACAACAGUUGGAAACGACUGCUAAUACCGCAUAAGCCCACGGUGCCGCAUGGCACAGAGGGAAAAGGAGCAAUCCGCUUUGAGAUGGCCUCGCGUCCGAUUAGCUAGUUGGUGAGGUAACGGCCCACCAAGGCGACGAUCGGUAGCCGGACUGAGAGGUUGAACGGCCACAUUGGGACUGAGACACGGCCCAGACUCCUACGGGAGGCAGCAGUGGGGAAUAUUGCACAAUGGGGGAAACCCUGAUGCAGCGACGCCGCGUGGAGGAAGAAGGUCUUCGGAUUGUAAACUCCUGUUGUUGGGGAAGAUAAUGACGGUACCCAACAAGGAAGUGACGGCUAACUACGUG